GGAGGCCAUUUCGUUCCGCCAAGAGCUUUGUCAGGUCGUUGCAGAUGUUAUAUACAAAUGGAUAUCUGGAGCAAUGGAGAAAGGUCUCAAUAUCCCCAAAGAUCGUCGUCUCAGAGUGAUCUUCACCAAGUCUUAUAAUUCUGCUAGGAAAGAUCCUCUAUUGCUCUUAAGAUUCUACUAUGCUUCAUUAUCGAUGCUCUUCGUGGCAUCGGCUAUGGCUUGUCGAAGAGUGUUGGCAGCCCUCAUCAGAGCUUACUUGAGUCGUGUAUCCUAUAACUGGAAGCAAAUCUCUAUGGCCAACUAAGGGUACUGCUUGAAGCUUUUUCUUCAAGAUAAUCUAAGAGGAGCAAAACAUCACAUCCGUUGAAGGUUACUCUGUAGAGAAAAAGCUUAUAAAUAAAUAGUACUAUAAAAAAUUUUAUUAUGUAAUUAAUAAUUAUGUAAAUGGUAGUAAUAUCUUAUACCUU